CCGUCCUGGUUAAGAUGGCGACGCCCGGGGUCCUGCGGAGGGGCCGCAGAGGGUGCUGCCGCCCUAGGCGAGGUCGGGCCGCCCCGCGCGGAAGAACCGCCCCCAGCAGCACCCCAACCACCGCUUAGCUAAGAAUUCCAGGCCACGCCCGGGACAGCGGCCGCAGCAUGGAUUCUUCCAGUUCGUCUAGCUCUUGCUUCUCCGUCGGCUCCACCAGUCCCGGCGCUGUCGUGCUCCUCUACUCGAAGGAACUCAAAAAGUGGGAUCAGUUUGAAGAUGUUUUGGAGGAGAGGAGGCAUGUCAGUGACCUGAAAUUUGCCAUGAAAUGCUACACACCUCUUGUCUACAAGGGAAUUACUCCUUGCAAGCCAAGUGAGAUUAAAUGUAGUGUUCUCAAUUCUGAAGAGAUUCAUUAUGUCAUUAAACAGCUUUCCAGGGAAUCCCUUCAAUCUGCCGAGGUCCUGCGAGAGGAAGCCUGUGGCAUCCUGGAUGAAAUGAACCACAAACUGCGUCUGGGAGCCAUUCGGUUCUGUGCCUUUGCCCUGAGCAAAAUAUUUAAACAAAUUUUCUCGAAAGUGUGUGUAAAUGAAGAAGGUAUUCAGAAACUACAGCGAGCCAUCCAGGAGCAUCCUGUUGUUCUGUUGCCCAGUCAUCGAAGUUACAUUGACUUUCUGAUGCUGUCUUUUCUUUUAUACAACUACGACUUACCUGUGCCGGUCAUAGCAGCAGGAAUGGACUUCCUAGGAAUGAAGAUGGUUGGUGAGCUGCUGCGAAUGUCGGGGGCGUUCUUCAUGCGGCGGACCUUCGGUGGCGAUCAGCUCUACUGGGCGGUGUUCUCUGAAUAUGUGAAAACUAUGUUACGGAAUGGUUAUGCUCCUGUUGAAUUUUUCCUCGAAGGGACAAGAAGCCGCUCCGCCAAGACACUGACUCCAAAAUUUGGUCUUCUGAAUAUUGUGAUGGAACCGUUUUUUAAAAGAGAAGUUUUUGAUACCUACCUUGUUCCGAUCAGCAUCAGUUACGAUAGGAUAUUGGAAGAAACUCUGUAUGCUUAUGAGCUCCUAGGGGUUCCUAAGCCGAAAGAAUCUACAACUGGAUUGUUGAAAGCCAGGAGGAUUCUCUCUGAAAAGUUUGGAAACAUUCAUGUGUACUUCGGAGACCCUGUGUCACUUCGAUCUCUGGCAGCUGGGAGGAUGGGUCGGAGCCCAUAUAACUUGGUUCCAAGAUAUAUUCCUCAGAAACAGUCGGAGGACAUGCAUGCCUUUGUCACUGAAGUUGCCUACAAAAUGCAACUCCUGCAAAUUCAAAACCUGGUUCUGAGCCCGUGGCCACUAAUAGUUACUGUUCUGCUUCAGAACCGGCCAUCCAUGGACUUUGAUGCCCUAUUGGAAAAGACCUUAUGGCUGAAAGGCUUAGCCCAGGCCUUCGGGGGGUUUCUCACUUGGCCUGAUAAUGAACUUGCUGAAGAAGUGGUCCAGUCCAGCCUUCUUCUGCAUUCCAACAUCGUCAGCCUCGUCAAAGACCGGGUGACUCUGAAAGUGGACUCUGGAGGCCCAGAAGUGGUCGAUGGGCUUGUUUUCCAGCACAUCACUCUCCUCGUGUGCUCGGCUUACAGGAACCAGCUGCUCAACAUUUUUGUCCGUCCUUCCUUAGUAGCUGUGGCAUUGCAGAUGACGCCUGGGUUCAGGAAAGAGGAUGUCUACAGUUGCUUUCGCUUCCUAUGCAGUGUUUUUUCAGAUGAGUUCAUCUUUCUUCCAGGAAAUGCGCUAAAGGACUUUGAAGAAGGCUGUUACCUGCUUUGUAAAAGUGAGGCCACACAGGUGACAACAAGGGACAUCCUAGUUACAGAAAAAGGAAAUACAGUGCUAGAGUUUUUAAUAGGACUCUUUAAACCUUUUGUGGAAUCUUACCAGAUAAUUUGCAAAUACCUCUUGAACGAAGAAGAAGGCUACUUCACUGAGAAACAGUACUUGGUGAACGUUAGAAAAUUCACAGGUCAGCUUCUCCAUCAAGGUGCCUCACAGUGUUACGAUGUAUUAUCCUCCGAUGUACAAAAAAAUGCCUUAGCAGCUUUUGUGAAGCUCGGUGUGGUGGAGAAGAAGAAGGUAAAUAAUGAUUAUAUAUUUACUGUGAAUGAACCUGCCGCAACAAAGUUAGAAGAAAUGCUUGGUGGUAAGACACCAGUAGGAAAACCGGCAACUGCAAAGCUUUAAUGAUUGCCAAACGGUUAUGGAAAAAUUGGUCAUAUAAUUACUGUCAUCCAAGGACUCGUAUUACAACAAAGAGGGAAGCAAAGGAAGAGACCCAUCUUCUCGUCCUUCAUAAGGCGUCAAGAACGGCGGGCUCAGUAGAGAGGAAGAGUGACCAAUUUAAGCAAUCCGUGAAAUCUCCACGUUGGUUAAAAAGGCAUUUGUGUCCAACUCCGUGUGUGUUUUAAAAUAAAACAGGCUUUCAGAAACAUGUUUGGAAAAACAAAACCCAGCUCCUAUUUCACUAAUACUUUUUAACUUACUACAUGUAUUAAACUGUUACGUUGACUUCUGAAUUAAAGUGCAGCAUCGAGUCUAAA